rnacentral:rRNA from 1 species
ACGAACCGAGCGAACGUUAUUCGGAAUCACUGGGCGUAAAGGGCGCGUAGGCGGGAUGGCAAGUCAGUCGUGAAAUCUCUCGGCUCAACCGAGAAACGUCGGCUGAUACUGCCGUUCUUGAGGGAUGCAGAGGAGACUGGAAUUCCCGGUGUAGCGGUGAAAUGUGUAGAGAUCGGGAGGAACACCGGUGGCGAAGGCGGGUCUCUGGACAAAACCUGACACUGAGGCACGAAAGCUAGGGGAGCAAACAGUA